GUGCUUGCUUCAGCAGCACAUAGACUAAAAUUGGAAUGGUACAGAGAAGAUUAUCAAGGCUCCUGUACAAGGAUGACAUGCAAAUUCACGAAGCAUUCUAUAUUUUA